UACGGAGGGUGCAAGCGUUAUCCGGAUUCACUGGGUUUAAAGGGUGCGUAGGCGGGCAAGUAAGUCAGUGGUGAAAUCUUCGAGCUUAACUCGGAAACUGCCGUUUGAUACUAUCUGUCUUGAAUACCCGGGAGGUGAGCGGAAUAUGUCAUGUAGCGGUGAAAUGCUUAGAUAUGACAUAGAAACACCAAUUGCGAAGGCAGCUCACUACAGGGUCAUUGACGCUGAGGCACGAAAAGCGUGGGGGAUCAAAACAGG
rnacentral:rRNA from 1 species